rnacentral:rRNA from 1 species
AUUGAACGCUGGCGGAAUGCUUUACACAUGCAAGUCGAACGGCAGCACGGACUUCGGUCUGGUGGCGAGUGGCGAACGGGUGAGUAAUACAUCGGAACGUGCCCAGUCGUGGGGGAUAACGUAGCGAAAGCUACGCUAAUACCGCAUACGAUCUAAGGAUGAAAGCGGGGGAUCGCAAGACCUCGCGCGAUUGGAGCGGCCGAUGGCAGAUUAGGUAGUUGGUAGGGUAAAGGCCUGCCAAGCCGACGAUCUGUAGCUGGUCUGAGAGGAUGAUCAGCAACACUGGGACUGAGACACGGCCCAGACUCCUACGGGAGGCAGCAGUGGGGAAUUUUGGACAAUGGGCGCAAGCCUGAUCCAGCCAUUCCGCGUGCAGGAUGAAAGCCUUCGGGUUGUAAACUGCUUUUGUACAGAACGAAAAGGCUCUGGUUAAUACCCGGGGCUCAUGACGGUACUGUAAGAAUAAGCACCGGCUAACUACGUGCCAGCCGCCGCCGUAA